CUGGUUAGCGUUUGUUAUUGUUAGGAGUCGGAUAUAAGUCCAUGUAUUGGCAUUCUGUUUCCUCUUGUUGGGUUAUUGUUAGGAGUCGGGUGUAAGUCCAUGUAUUGGCAUUCUGUUUCCUUCUUUUUAUUGUUGUUAGGAGUCGGGUGUAAGUCCAUGUAUUGGCAUUCUGUUUCCUUUUGAAUGUUUCUUUUGACAUCUCAGUGUCCCUUUUUGGUGUCU
rnacentral:lncRNA from 1 species